GGCGGCGGGCUUAAUACAUGCAAGUCGAGCGGGACGGAAGGGAGCUGGCUCCCGGAUGUUAGCGGCGGACGGGUGAGUAACACGUGGGUAACCUGCCUGUAAGACUGGGAUAACUCCGGGAAACCGGAGCUAAUACCGGAUAGUUCCUUGAACCGGAUGGUUCACGGAUGAAAGACGGUUUCGGCUGUCACUUACAGAUGGACCCGCGGCGCAUUAGCUAGUUGGUGAGGUAACGGCUCACCCAGGCGACGAUGCGUAGCCGACCUGAGAGGGUGAUCGGCCACACUGGGACUGAAACACGGCCCAAACUCCUACGGGAGGCAGCAGUAGGGAAUCUUCCGCAAUGGACGAAAGUCUGACGGAGCAACGCCACGGGAGUGAUGAAGGUUUUCGGAUCGUAAAGCUCUGUUGUUAGGGAAGAACAAGUGCAAGAGUAACUGCUUGCCCCUUGACGGUACCUAACCAGAAAGCCACGGCUAACUACGUGCCAAUACCCGCGGUAAUACGUAUGUGGCAAGUGUUGUCCGGAAUUAUUGGGCGUAAAGGGCUCGCAAGCGGUUUCUUAAGUCUGAUGUGAAAGCCCCCGGCUCAACCGGGGAGGGUCAUUGGAAACUGGCAAACUUGAGUGCAGAAAAUGAGAGUGGAAUUCCACGUGUAGCGGAGAAAUGCGUAAACAUCUGGAGGAACACCAGUUGCCAAGGCGACUCUCUGGUCUGUAACUGACGCUGAUGAGCGAA
rnacentral:rRNA from 1 species